rnacentral:lncRNA from 1 species
UUUUACAAAAAUUUUUAAAUCCUUAUUUAAUUUAGUAUUUUCUAAUAACAAUCCAAAAUUAAAAAUUUUAGAGUGUUAUACAAGGACACUCAAAACUAAAGGUAGAUGUGCACCUAAAGGUAUGUCUGAAGCUUUGAUUACCACUUAAGGAGAAAAGGUGUGGCCCGAUCUUACGAAAGGUUCUGGUAACUAUCGAUUUGGUGGAAACGAGACACAAAUCAAUCCAGCUUGCGAACAACACGAUUCGAUACCCUGCAAUUCUUUUUUUUGAUAUUUUUCUUUUACUUUGGAGCACUCAAGAAGUAACCACAGGAAAUUUGAGCUUAAACAAGUGAAAGACAUAGCCUGUGGAAUUUUUUGAAGAUUGCGAAAAAUAUGAAAAAAAAUUUAGGAGCUGAAAACUCAAACUUCAGAGGCGAAUUUGGGGAUUCUAAAAUUGUCGAACCCGCUCGUGGCAUGGAUAGAC